GAUUGUUUUAUCGGGUAGCGAUGAACUUCCAGUUAAAGAGCCAUUUGGGAUUGAAUCCGAGCUCAGAACCCAACCAAAAUUGAUAUAUGACAUUCUUGGGAUGUCUUAAGGUUAAAAUGGUCAUUUAUCCCCAAGAAUUACGUGGCUUCAUAAGGUAAAUUGCAUACAUAGUAAAACCUGGCCAGCUGAAAUUACAGCUCAGACCUAUCCUCAAAGAAAGCUGCUUAGCAGCUACUUAAGUGUCUAUCUCUCAAAGAACUUUUUAUGCAUGAAAGCCAACACCUUAGGCUAACACCUCAAGCAAGAAUCACCCAAAAACUCCAAGAAACCAACCUUGCCCAGAAGAGGUUUCCCUCCCCUGGGGGUACCGCCAGAACAGACUAUAAAAGCCUGUUCUGGAUUUUCGUCUCUUUUCUCUUAUUUCUUCCUCUUGGACACCCACUUUUCUUUACAUAUAACUCUUCUAAAUAUCCAUACAAAGUAGUUCAAGCUUUGGUUCCAAUCUUUAGACCUUAAAAUCAUAUAGAAAACCUUGCUGAAAGAUCACAUAAGUUGUUGGGAAGCUGUAGGAGUAGUUAACCAAGUGGAUUAAGGAAUUUCGUGGCUUUAAGCAUCCUUAGUUAAGAGUCAAACAUCGUUGCAGGUUUGGUGUUGUGAGCUCAGGAUUCUGAAGUGAAGCAAGAUAAAGAUGCCGUCGUAGCUUAUGGAUUGAGUUUGUAUUUUAGAUAGUCAAUUAAGGAAUAGUUUCUGAUAUAUUUCGUUGUAUACAAUAUUUGGGAAUAUUAGUCGAGAUAUCAGUGUAAUUGAAGUCUUAUAUAAAGGAUUUUGUUUUGUGGGCCAAUAACCCACAAG